AACUCUGGUGGCCUAGUGACAAGUGCUUCUGCCUCAAAUGCAAAAGGUCGCAGGUUCAAACCUCUGUGGAGUCA